rnacentral:rRNA from 1 species
UACGUAGGGGGCAAGCGUUGUCCGGAAUCAUUGGGCGUAAAGAGCGUGUAGGCGGCCAGAAAAGUCCGCUGUGAAAACUCGAGGCUCAACUUCGAGCUGUCGGUGGAAACUUUCUGGCUAGAGUCCGGAAGAGGAGAAUGGAAUUCCUGGUGUAGCGGUGAAAUGCGCAGAUAUCAGGAAGAACACCCGUGGCGAAGGCGGUUCUCUGGGACGGUACUGACGCUGAGAGACGAAAGCUAGGGGAGCGAAUGGG